AAGGAUUCAACUAAACUCUGUUCUGUCAAAGUGAUUCCUCAUCACCUUGAUCAUGUUCUGGACUGUCUUCAUCUUCAUCACUUAUUUUUCCUAUUCUGCGGCUCAGUUUACUGUCAUCCAGGAAGCCACAAUAACCGUGUCUCUUGGUGGUAAUGCCAUUGUGUCCUGUGGUCGUAGUGAUGGCUCUGUAGCUGCUGGUAACCACCCAACCUGGGUAUAUCAGGCACCUGGGAGUGCUCCUAAAGGUUUAGUAAGUAGUAAUGGAGCCAGUAAUCAUAAUAUAAAACCUCCAGGAAUCUCUGAACGUUUUACUGGAUCCAUCCAAGGAGCCUCAAGUGUUUUGUCUAUCAGUAAUGUACAGGCUGCAGAUGACGGGAAUUAUCACUGUGCUCUAUACAUUGGUGGUGGAGUGUGGAUGUUCGGACCAGGAACUCAGCUCAUUGUACAAACCGGUGAAGUGAAGGCACCAGUUGUGUUUUUCUUUGGUCCAUCUAAAGAAGAGUUAGAGAAAGAGACAGCCACCUUAGUCUGUACUGCCAGUGAAUACAAGCCAAGGACCGCAACAAUGGAGUUUCUGGUGGAUGGUCAAACUUGGGAGAAUGGGGUCUCCACAUCACCAAUCACCAUACAGAGUGACAGUUCAUACAUGGGAAGCAGUUUCCUCACCAUGACCUCAUCUGAUUAUUCUAAAUAUAAGGAAUAUGGCUGCAAAGUGACGCAUCAGGGCAAAGAGUUUAUCCAGACACUGAAGAGAUCAGAGUGUUUCUAAUAUUCAGUUUAUCUCUUUGUAUCGCCAAGUAAUAGAGUCAGUUCUUUAUUAUAAAUUAAAUACAAUGUGAAAGAUAAAUGGUUAUUUCUCCACAAACUAGAUUGUGGCUCCUCUACACUUUUCUAUAUUCGUUAUGCUUGCAUUUAAAACCCCUAAGAUGCCCCAUUUGCACAGAGAAAUGCAUUGAUUAUGUAAUGUUUAUUUUGCUUGCCCCCAUGAAGUUCUCAAUAAAUGACUCUAUAUGUAUUUAAAAAA